AGGCUUUGAUCCUGGCUCAGAACGAACGCUGGCGGCAGGCCUAACACAUGCAAGUCGAACGGGAUCUUCGGAUCUAGUGGCGGACGGGUGAGUAACGCGUGGGAACGUGCCCUCUGGUUCGGAAUAGCCCCGGGAAACUGGGAGUAAUACCGGAUACGGUCGAGAGACGAAAGAUUUAUCGCCGGAGGAUCGGCCCGCGUUGGAUUAGGUAGUUGGUGGGGUAAUGGCCUACCAAGCCGACGAUCCAUAGCUGGUUUGAGAGGAUGAUCAGCCACACUGGGACUGAGACACGGCCCAGACUCCUACGGGAGGCAGCAGUGGGGAAUCUUAGACAAUGGGGGAAACCCUGAUCUAGCCAUGCCGCGUGAGCGAUGAAGGCCUUAGGGUUGUAAAGCUCUUUCAGUGGGGAAGAUAAUGACGGUACCCUACAGAAGAAGCCCCGGGGUAACCGUU
rnacentral:rRNA from 1 species